GGAGUUAGUGGCGGACGGGUGAGUAACGCGUGAGAAUCUGGCUUCUGGUUCGGGAUAACAGUGGGAAACGACUGCUAAUACCGGAUGUGCCUGCGGGUAAAAGGCUUGCUGCCAGAAGAUGAGCUCGCGUCUGAUUAGCUAGUUGGUGGGGUAAGAGCCUACCAAGGCGACGAUCAGUAGCUGGUCUGAGAGGAUGAUCAGCCACACUGGGACUGAGACACGGCCCAGACUCCUACGGGAGGCAGCAGUGGGGAAUUUUCCGCAAUGGGCGAAAGCCUGACGGAGCAAUACCGCCGUGAGGGGAAGAAGGCUCUUGGGUUGUAAACCUCUUUUCUCAGGGAAUAAGAAAGUGAAGGUACCUGAGAAUCACAUCGGCUAACUCCGUGCCAGCAGCCGCGGUAAUACGGAGGAUGCAAGCGUUAUCCGGGAAUGGAGUCUGUGGGCCGUAAAAGGCGUCCGCAGGUGGUUAUUCAAGUCUGCCGUUAAAGAGUCUGGCUUAACCAGAUAAAGGCGGUGGAAACUGAAAGACUAGAGUGCGGUAGGGGCAGAGGGAAUCCCAGUGUAGCGGUGAAAUGCGUAGAGAUUGGGAAGAACACCGGUGGCGAAAGCGCUCUGCUAGGCCGCAACUGACACUCAGGGACGAAAGCUAGGGGAGCGAAUGGGAUUAGAUACCCCAGUAGUCCUAGCCGUAAACGAUGGAUACUAGGCGUUGUCUGUAUCGACCCGGACAGUGCCGUAGCCAACGCGUUAAGUAUCCCGCCUGGGGAGUACGCACGCAAGUGUGAAACUCAAAGGAAUUGACGGGGGCCCGCACAAGCCGUGGAGUAUGUGGUUUAAUUCGAUGCAACGCGAAGAACCUUACCAGGGCUUGACAUGUCGCGAAUCUGGGUGAAAGCUCAGAGUGCCUUCGGGAGCGCGAACACAGGUGGUGCAUGGCUGUCGUCAGCUCUGUCGUGAGAUGUGGG
rnacentral:rRNA from 1 species